rnacentral:rRNA from 1 species
UAAUACGAAGGGGGCUAGCGUUGUUCGGAAUUACUGGGCGUAAAGGGCGCGCAGGCGGUCCUUCAAGUCAGGCGUGAAAGCCCCGGGCUCAACCUGGGAACUGCGCUUGAGACUGGAGGACUUGAGGACGGGAGAGGAGAGUGGAAUUCCCAGUGUAGAGGUGAAAUUCGUAGAUAUUGGGAAGAACACCAAUGGCGAAGGCAGCUCUCUGGACCGUACCUGACGCUGAGGCGCGAAAGCGUGGGGAGCAAACAGGAUUAGAUACCCUGGUAGUCCACGCCGUAAACGAUGUGUGCUAGACGUUGGGAGACCUAGUCUCUCGGUGUCGCAGCUAACGCUUUAAGCACACCGCCUGGGGAGUACGGCCGCAAGGUUA